UGUUUAGGAAUAGUGGAACUUCUCCUAAUCAAAAUCAAAUUGUCUACCUGAAAUCUUCUCAGUAGUUCAAUUUGUAGGGCCAGGGUAGUUUGCGUACAAAAGGCAGAGGCUGCUGAUAUCAACUUAGUGACUGGAGCUUUUACUUUAAACUUCCAUAUAUGGCCAUAUUCCAUGCAUGUUCACCUUCUCCCAUUUAUGUUAAUUUUUCAGCUUGUUUAUUUCCAUUGAAAUACACAUUUCUCUCAAUUCUUCUCUUUGCUCUCAUUCUCUUUAAGAGUUGUCUGAACUCUAAAUUCCCACUCAGUUUUCAAGUGGUGCUUAUUGAACUUCCAUUGCCAAUACUCAACUGAGAAACCAUCACUGUGUUCCAACCCAAAGGACAUGCCAGUCUCAUUUUACUGAGAAAGGGUGUUCCUUUUGUCAGCACAGGAUGCUGUUAUCCCUCUAGGAAUUCAAGCUCCAGAACUGGGAAUCACCCUUGACACCUCUUCUCCUCUAUAGCCAUGCCAUCACUGAUCUGAAGAUUUCGUCUCCUAAACAUCUUUCAAGGUCAUGACUGCUACAUGUCAAUAGUGUGCCACACAGUGACGAUCCAUAACCACUACACAGCUGAAGCAAUAUGCACUACCAACUCCACAGAAACAUCUCAUGAUGCCCACCCAACAUGGAACUCCAUAAGUUUAAUUUUCUCAUAUUUUUUUUAACAGUGAAGGGAUGCUAAACAUACAUCCUUAAACAUUUUUUGGUUGAUUUUGUAGUAGAAAAAUAGAAUUUUACCAUCUGUAUUAUUCUGUAUCUGGCUCUUCUAUAUUCCUUAUAAUAUUUGUGAAGUUCAUCCAUAUAAUGCUAUGUAGUUUUAAAACAUUUUUAUUACUACUUCUUUAUGAUACGGUACUGUGUAGAUUAUUAAACUGAUACUUUACAUAUAGUUCAAUAAGAAUUUUUUUCAAUUUAAUCAAAUAAUUUUUCUUUCUAAAUAGAUAAACCUAUUCAUACUUUGUUGGGAGGAGUGGGUAUUAAACUAUUUGGACUCAUUCCUGUGCCUUUGUCUUGUGUUUUCUAUUUAUCAUGGUUUUCUAUUUUUUCAUAUUUUCUCUUUUCCUUUGGGUAUUGCUGAAAGUUUCUUAUCCACUUAGAGUAGGAUAUUCCUGGUGAUUAUUUAUUUAUGAUAUUACAAAUGUUUUGUUUACUUGGAAAUAUUUCUAAAUGUUGGGGCAAGAAGUAAAGGCACCAUCUUCAAAAGAACAUCUUCAAAGUGAUCUUUAAAGAGUUUCAGGUAUGAUUCUAUCUUCUCAUAUAUUCACCCCAAAAUACACACACACACACACACACACACUUGUUUUUCUGCUUAAACUUGCUCAGUGACUUUCCUGGUAUUUACAUGAACAAAUCUAAUUUGUCCUACUAACUGGUACUUGGACUGAUGUUUAUCAAUACUUUAAGUCCCUUCAGAAACCACUCUAUCUUCUCUCUCGGCAAUUAAGGAACACUGUCCUUCUUUUUCCACUGAGUUUCAGUGACUUGCCUCCCUCCACAGUGCCCCUCCUCAUAGUGAAGCCUAGAGUAUGCUCUUAUUCCUGCUCCACUUCUACUGUGUUUAAUUACUGCCUAGUUUUGCUUCAGCUACUCCACUCUCUCUCUCCAAGGACCAUCUCACUGAGAUUCUGUUUCCCCGGAUCCUGAGCAGCCAUACCUUCAUAAAUAGAUUACUGAUUCCUUGAUCAUCUUUUCCUUUGAAAUUUCAGUAACAGAUCCUUGGGGAAACUUCAUUUAUAUUUAUUGAAUAAAUUUAGAUGUUAUAUUUUCAUCCCUCAAAGGAUGCUUAACAACUUUGUUAUAGCAAAAUUUAUCAUACCUAGACUAGAGCUGGUAGAUCAUGAAGAAAACAACAAUUCUGUUUAUGACAGGUAUUCCCAGGAGAGAUUCUUCGCUCAUUAUGACAGAUUACUUGUUUCCUAUUCACCCACAAUUUCAAUACAUUUAUGUAUCAAGUUUUCAAAGCUAUAUAAUUAGAUAACCAAAAUUUCAGUGGGACAAUAAAUUAUGUAACUGGUCACUCUGAUAGAACCAUAAGCGAUUGCUUCAAAAUGAAAAAAAAAAAAAAAGAAUCAAAUAAGUCCAAAACUUUGGGGCCAUAAUGG